AAAAAGUAUUCCGCUGCCGGGGUUUGAACCCGGAUUUCAUCAUUGAAAUAAACCGGUGUGCUACAGCGGAUCUAUUGAAUGUAU
rnacentral:sRNA from 1 species